rnacentral:rRNA from 1 species
AUUGAACGCUGGCGGCAUGCUUUACACAUGCAAGCCGAACGGUAACAGGCCGCAAGGUGCUGGCGAGUGGCGAACGGGUGAGUAAUGCAUCGGAACGUGCCCAGUCGAGGGGGAUAACGCAGCGAAAGCUGCGCUAAUACCGCAUACGAUCUAUGGAUGAAAGAGGGGGACCGUAAGGCACCGCGCGCUUGGAGCGGCCGAUGUCAGAUUAGGUAGUUGGUGGGGUAAAGGCUCACCAAGCCAACGAUCUGUAGCUGGUCUGAGAGGACGACCAGCCACACUGGGACUGAGACACGGCCCAGACUCCUACGGGAGGCAGCAGUGGGGAAUUUUGGACAAUGGGCGCAAGCCUGAUCCAGCAAUGCCGCGUGCAGGAAGAAGGCCUUCGGGUUGUAAACUGCUUUUGUACGGAACGAAACGGUCCUGGUUAAUACCUGGGGCUAAUGACGGUACCGUAAGAAUAAGCACCGGCUAACUACGUGCCAGCAGCCGCGGUAAUAC